rnacentral:rRNA from 1 species
GUGCCAGCAGUCGCGGUAACACGUAGAAGACUAGUGUUAUUCAUCUUUAUUAGGUUUAAAGGGUACCUAGACGGGAAAUCAAGCCAUAAUAGGGACUAAUUUUCUAGAGUUUUAUGUGAGAAGGGGCGAAUUUCUGGAGGAAAGUUGAUAUUUUGUGAUACCGGAAGGACGGGUAACGGCGAAGGCAACCUUCUAUGUAAAAACUGACGUUGAGGGACGAAGCCUUGGGUAACGAGAAGGAUUAGAUACCCUAGUAGUCCUUGGAGACAAUUAUGAAUGCCAUAGGUUAGAUAAAUUUUGGCCUAUAAAUGAAAGUGCAAGCAUUCCACCUCAUGAGUAAAGCGGCAACGCCCAAAUUGAAAUCAUUAGACCGUUUCUGAAACCAGUAGUGAAGUAUGUUAUUUAAUUCGAUGACCCGCGAAUAACCUUACCACGCAUUGAAUAUUAUUCAAUUAUUACAAGCGCUGCACGGCUGUCUUCAGUUAAUGUCGUGAGAUUUUGGUUCGUUCCAUAAAUUAACGAAAACCCUUGCUUUAUUUGUUUUUAUAAAGUAGUUCUCCGUUAUAUUGGAUAAGUUAAAAGGGACUAAGACAAGUCAUCAUGGCCUAAAUAGC